GAUGAACGCUGGCGGCAUGCCUAAUACAUGCAAGUCGAGCGAAUGGAUUAAGAGCUUGCUCUUAUGAAGUUAGCGGCGGACGGGUGAGUAACACGUGGGUAACCUGCCCAUAAGACUGGGAUAACUCCGGGAAACCGGGGCUAAUACCGGAUAAUAUUUUGAACUGCAUGGUUCAAAAUUGAAAGGCGGCUUCGGCUGUCACUUAUGGAUGGACCCGCGUCGCAUUAGCUAGUUGGUGAGGUAACGGCUCACCAAGGCAACGAUGCGUAGCCGACCUGAGAGGGUGAUCGGCCACACUGGGACUGAGACACGGCCCAGACUCCUACGGGAGGCAGCAGUAGGGAAUCUUCCGCAAUGGACGAAAGUCUGACGGAGCAACGCCGCGUGAGUGAUGAAGGCUUUCGGGUCGUAAAACUCUGUUGUUGGGGAAGAACAAGUGCUAGUUGAAUAAGCUGGCACCUUGACGGUACCUAACCAGAAAGCCACGGCUAACUACGUGCCAGCCGCCGCGGUAA
rnacentral:rRNA from 1 species